rnacentral:rRNA from 1 species
GAUGAACGCUGGCGGCGUGCCUAAUACAUGCAAGUCGAGCGAACGGACGAGAAGCUUGCUUCUCUGAUGUUAGCGGCGGACGGGUGAGUAACACGUGGAUAACCUACCUAUAAGACUGGGAUAACUUCGGGAAACCGGAGCUAAUACCGGAUAAUAUUUUGAACCGCAUGGUUCAAAAGUGAAAGACGGUCUUGCUGUCACUUAUAGAUGGAUCCGCGCUGCAUUAGCUAGUUGGUAAGGUAACGGCUUACCAAGGCAACGAUGCAUAGCCGACCUGAGAGGGUGAUCGGCCAGACUGGAACUGAGACACGGUCCAGACUCCUACGGGGGGCAGCAGUAGGGAAUCUUCCGCAAUGGGCGAAAGCCUGACGGAGCAACGCCGCGUGAGUGAUGAAGGUCUUCGGAUCGUAAAACUCUGUUAUUAGGGAAGAACAUAUGUGUAAGUAACUGUGCACAUCUUGACGGUACCUAAUCAGAAAGCCACGGCUAACUACGUG